rnacentral:rRNA from 1 species
GACGAACGCUGGCGGCGUGCUUAACACAUGCAAGUCGAACGGAAAGGCCCUGCUUUUGUGGGGUGCUCGAGUGUCGAACGGGUGAGUAACACGUGAGUAACCUGCCCUUGACUUUGGGAUAACUUCAAGAAACUGGGGCUAGUACCGGAUAGGAGGUCCUGCUGCAUGGUGGGGGUUGGAAAGUGUCGGCGGUUGGGGAUGGACUCGCGGCUUAUCAGCUUGUUGGUGGGGUGGUGGCUGACCAAGGCUUUGACGGGUAGCCGGCCGGAGAGGGUGACCGGCCGCAUUGGGACUGCGGUGAGGCCGCGACGACUACGGGAGGAAGCAGUGGGGAAUAUUGCACAGUGGGCGGCAGCAUGCUGAAGCAGCGCCGCGUGGGGGAUGAAGGACUUCGGGUUGUCAACCGCUUCCGCCUGCGACGAAGCGUGAGUGACGGUAAUGGGUAAAGAAGCACCGGCUAACUACGUG